UNGAUCAAGGCCUUACAGACUAUUUUGUGA
rnacentral:piRNA from 1 species